rnacentral:rRNA from 1 species
AACGUAGGAGACGAACGUUAUCCGGAGUUACUGGGCGUAAAGGGCGUGUAGGCGGUUUGUUAAGUCUGGCGUGAAAGCUCUCGGCUAAACCGGGAGAGGUCGUUGGAUACUGGCGAACUAGAGGAUGGUAGAGGCGUGUGGAAUUCCGGGUGUAGUGGUGAAAUGCGUAGAGAUCCGGAGGAGCACCAGUGGCGAAGGCGACACGCUGGGCCAUACCUGACGCUAAAGCGCGACAGCAUGGGGAGCAAACGGG